rnacentral:tRNA from 2 species
GGGCGCAUAGCUCAGUUGGCUAGAGCGCACCCCUGAUAAGGGUGAGGUCCCAUGUUCGAGUCAUGGUGCGCCCA